rnacentral:rRNA from 1 species
AAGGAGUGUGUAACAACUCACCUGCCGAAUGAAUUAGCCCUGAAAAUGGAUGACGCUAAAGCGGGCAGCCGACACCACACCGUUUGGGCAAAAUGGACGUCUAAAUGAGUAGGAGGAACGUGGCGGUCGUGUCGAAGCGUGCGUGCAAACGUGCGUGGAACGGCCGCUAGUGCAGAUCUUGGUGUUAGUAGCAAAUAUUCAAAUGAGAACCUUGAAGGGCGAAGCGGGGAAGGGUUCCACGCGAACAUUGAUUGAGCGUGGGUAAGUCGUUCCUAAGCCGCGUGGCAAUAGCUAAUUACCGGCGAAAGGGAAGCAGGUUGAUAUUCCUGCACACGGAUGUGGAAGCGGUGACGCAUACUUGGGACGGUGAAGCUGGCGAUGGCUCUGGGCAGAGUUUUCUUUUCUGUUUAACUAACUAUGCUCGCAGUGUGGAAUCCGCUUGUCGGGAGAAACACGCGGGUCUGGGAAUAGCGCCGGGUUUUUUUCCGGCGUCCAGAACGCCAUCGUCGGACCUUGAAAAACUGUCUGCAGGCGAUUUUAAAUUGUCUUAUGUAAUCCACGCCGUGACGUACCGAUAACCGCAUCAGGUCCCCAAGGUGAACAGCCUCUGCUCGAUAUGAAAAAUGC